GCUGGGCGUGGUGGCACAUGCCUGUAAUCCCAGCUACUCGGGAGGCUGAGGCAGAAGAAUUGCUUGAACCCGGGAGGUGGAGGUUGCAGUGAGCCAAGAUCAUGCCACUGUACUCCAGCCUGGGUAACAGAGCGAGACUCUGUCUCAA
rnacentral:SRP_RNA from 1 species